rnacentral:rRNA from 1 species
UACAGAGGGGGCAAGCGUUAUUCGGAAUUAUAGGGCGUAAAGGGCGCGUAGGCGGCUUGGCAAGUGGAAGGUGAAAUCCCUCGGCUUAACCGAGGAACUGCCCUCCAAACUGCUUCGCUUGAGACCGGGAGAGGUGAGUGGAGUUCCCAGUGUAGCGGUGAAAUGCGUAGAUAUUGGGAGGAACACCAGUGGCGAAGGCGGCUCACUGGACCGGAACUGACGCUGAUGCGCGAAAGCGUGGGGAGCAAACGGG